UUAAGCGACUAAGCGUACACGGUGGAUGCCCUGGCAGUCAGAGGCGAUGAAGGACGUGCUAAUCUGCGAUAAGCGUCGGUAAGGUGAUAUGAACCGUUAUAACCGGCGAUUUCCGAAUGGGGAAACCCAGUGUGAUUCGUCACACUAUCAUUAACUGAAUCCAUAGGUUAAUGAGGCGAACCGGGGGAACUGAAACAUCUAAGUACCCCGAGGAAAAGAAAUCAACCGAGAUUCCCCCAGUAGCGGCGAGCGAACGGGGAGGAGCCCAGAGCCUGAAUCAGUGUGUGUGUUAGUGGAAGCGUCUGGAAAGGCGCGCGAUACAGGGUGACAGCCCCGUACACAAAAAUACACAUGCUGUGAGCUCGAUGAGUAGGGCGGGACACGUGGUAUCCUGUCUGAAUAUGGGGGGACCAUCCUCCAAGGCUAAAUACUCCUGACUGACCGAUAGUGAACCAGUACCGUGAGGGAAAGGCGAAAAGAACCCCGGCGAGGGGAGUGAAAAAGAACCUGAAACCGUGUACGUACAAGCAGUGGGAGCACAGAGCAAUCUGUGUGACUGCGUACCUUUUGUAUAAUGGGUCAGCGACUUAUAUUCUGUAGCAAGGUUAACCGAAUAGGGGAGCCGAAGGGAAACCGAGUCUUAACUGGGCGUUAAGUUGCAGGGUAUAGACCCGAAACCCGGUGAUCUAGCCAUGGGCAGGUUGAAGGUUGGGUAACACUAACUGGAGGACCGAACCGACUAAUGUUGAAAAAUUAGCGGAUGACUUGUGGCUGGGGGUGAAAGGCCAAUCAAACCGGGAGAUAGCUGGUUCUCCCCGAAAGCUAUUUAGGUAGCGCCUCGUGAAUUCAUCUCCGGGGGUAGAGCACUGUUUCGGCAAGGGGGUCAUCCCGACUUACCAACCCGAUGCAAACUGCGAAUACCGGAGAAUGUUAUCACGGGAGACACACGGCGGGUGCUAACGUCCGUCGUGAAGAGGGAAACAACCCAGACCGCCAGCUAAGGUCCCAAAGUCAUGGUUAAGUGGGAAACGAUGUGGGAAGGCCCAGACAGCCAGGAUGUUGGCUUAGAAGCAGCCAUCAUUUAAAGAAAGCGUAAUAGCUCACUGGUCGAGUCGGCCUGCGCGGAAGAUGUAACGGGGCUAAACCAUGCACCGAAGCUGCGGCAGCGACGCUUAUGCGUUGUUGGGUAGGGGAGCGUUCUGUAAGCCUGCGAAGGUGUGCUGUGAGGCAUGCUGGAGGUAUCAGAAGUGCGAAUGCUGACAUAAGUAACGAUAAAGCGGGUGAAAAGCCCGCUCGCCGGAAGACCAAGGGUUCCUGUCCAACGUUAAUCGGGGCAGGGUGAGUCGACCCCUAAGGCGAGGCCGAAAGGCGUAGUCGAUGGGAAACAGGUUAAUAUUCCUGUACUUGGUGUUACUGCGAAGGGGGGACGGAGAAGGCUAUGUUGGCCGGGCGACGGUUGUCCCGGUUUAAGCGUGUAGGCUGGUUUUCCAGGCAAAUCCGGAAAAUCAAGGCUGAGGCGUGAUGACGAGGCACUACGGUGCUGAAGCAACAAAUGCCCUGCUUCCAGGAAAAGCCUCUAAGCAUCAGGUAACAUCAAAUCGUACCCCAAACCGACACAGGUGGUCAGGUAGAGAAUACCAAGGCGCUUGAGAGAACUCGGGUGAAGGAACUAGGCAAAAUGGUGCCGUAACUUCGGGAGAAGGCACGCUGAUAUGUAGGUGAAGCGACUUGCUCGUGGAGCUGAAAUCAGUCGAAGAUACCAGCUGGCUGCAACUGUUUAUUAAAAACACAGCACUGUGCAAACACGAAAGUGGACGUAUACGGUGUGACGCCUGCCCGGUGCCGGAAGGUUAAUUGAUGGGGUCAGCGCAAGCGAAGCUCUUGAUCGAAGCCCCGGUAAACGGCGGCCGUAACUAUAACGGUCCUAAGGUAGCGAAAUUCCUUGUCGGGUAAGUUCCGACCUGCACGAAUGGCGUAAUGAUGGCCAGGCUGUCUCCACCCGAGACUCAGUGAAAUUGAACUCGCUGUGAAGAUGCAGUGUACCCGCGGCAAGACGGAAAGACCCCGUGAACCUUUACUAUAGCUUGACACUGAACAUUGAGCCUUGAUGUGUAGGAUAGGUGGGAGGCUUUGAAGUGUGGACGCCAGUCUGCAUGGAGCCGACCUUGAAAUACCACCCUUUAAUGUUUGAUGUUCUAACGUGGACCCGUAAUCCGGGUUGCGGACAGUGUCUGGUGGGUAGUUUGACUGGGGCGGUCUCCUCCUAAAGAGUAACGGAGGAGCACGAAGGUUGGCUAAUCCUGGUCGGACAUCAGGAGGUUAGUGCAAUGGCAUAAGCCAGCUUGACUGCGAGCGUGACGGCGCGAGCAGGUGCGAAAGCAGGUCAUAGUGAUCCGGUGGUUCUGAAUGGAAGGGCCAUCGCUCAACGGAUAAAAGGUACUCCGGGGAUAACAGGCUGAUACCGCCCAAGAGUUCAUAUCGACGGCGGUGUUUGGCACCUCGAUGUCGGCUCAUCACAUCCUGGGGCUGAAGUAGGUCCCAAGGGUAUGGCUGUUCGCCAUUUAAAGUGGUACGCGAGCUGGGUUUAGAACGUCGUGAGACAGUUCGGUCCCUAUCUGCCGUGGGCGCUGGAGAACUGAGGGGGGCUGCUCCUAGUACGAGAGGACCGGAGUGGACGCAUCACUGGUGUUCGGGUUGUCAUGCCAAUGGCACUGCCCGGUAGCUAAAUGCGGAAGAGAUAAGUGCUGAAAGCAUCUAAGCACGAAACUUGCCCCGAGAUGAGUUCUCCCUGACUCCUUGAGAGUCCUGAAGGAACGUUGAAGACGACGACGUUGAUAGGCCGGGUGUGUAAGCGCAGCGAUGCGUUGAGCUAACCGGUACUAAUGAACCGUGAGGCUUAACCUU
rnacentral:rRNA from 1 species